rnacentral:rRNA from 1 species
AGAACGAACGCUGGCGGCAUGCCUAACACAUGCAAGUCGAACGCUUUUGGGGCUUCGGUCCCAAAGGAGUGGCGCACGGGUGAGUAGCGCGUGGGAACCUGCCCUGGAGUGGGGGAUAACCGAGGGAAACUUCGGCUAAUACCGCAUACGCCGGGAAACCGGGAAAGAUUUAUCGCUCUAGGAGGGGCCCGCGUCGGAUUAGGUAGUUGGUGGGGUAACGGCCUACCAAGCCUGUGAUCCGUAGCUGGUCUGAGAGGAUGAUCAGCCACACUGGGACUGAGACACGGCCCAGACUCCUACGGGAGGCAGCAGUGGGGAAUAUUGGACAAUGGGCGCAAGCCUGAUCCAGCAAUGCCGCGUGAGUGAUGAGGGCCUUCGGGUUGUAAAGCUCUUUCGCACGCGAGGAUGAUGACGGUACCGCAGAAGACGCCCCGGCUAACUUCGUGCCAGCAGCCGC